GCUCAACGUCUGGCCCUACAAAAGGACAUCGACGAGGAGUCCCUGCCCACUGUCUCUGUCAGAACACUGAAGGUCCGAGCAGAUACUGACGUCAAGAGGAUGGUUACCAUGAAGAAGAAUGGCAUUGUGAAGAAAGAAGAACAUACUGUAGCGAACACCUCAAUUAACAAGGGGAGUGACAAAGGAGUGAAGAAGAAGAAAAAGAAAAUCAAAGCAGAGACUGCGGUAGAUAACCAAACGGAUUCCAGUGUGGAUGGAGAAAAUGCAGUGGAAGAAGAGCACAAGAAAGGAAGUGAAAAUAAGUCACUGGGGUCAUUGAUGGACACCCGUAGUCUGAAUACAGCAGAGACAAACGACAGUGAUGGAGGAUGCUUCCAGAAGAAGCAGAACAACAAGAAGAAAGGUGAUGGAGAUAAUGGAAGGCCCAAGAAAAAGAAGCACAGCUGUAAGGCAGAAGAGACGGAGGUCAGUAUUAUCGAGCCAGGAGAGAAGGGUGAGGCCAAGAUGGGCCGGAAAAAGAAGGGAAAGAUGACCGUGGCUCAGGCCGAGGUAGAGGAAAAAAAAGUCAAAAUUAAAAAGAACAUCCCUAUAGAUGCUGAACCUACAGGGGAUAUUCAGGAGGAAAUAGUUGGGGAGAUGCCAAAAAAGAAAAAGAUGAGAUUGACCUCUGAGGAUGGAGAGGCAGAGAAAGAGGUGGUAACUAUAAAGAAGAAAAAGAAGAAAGUGGCCCAUGAGAACAAAGAGGCAGCGAAAACGGUGGGGUUGAUUAAGAAGGAAAAGAGAGUGGCCACUAAGAAUGGAGAGACAGAGAAGGAGGUGGUGAUUAUAAAGAAGAAGAAAAAGAAAGUGGCCCCUGAAAACACAGAGGCAGAGAAAAAGCUGGGGGUGACAAAGAAGGAAAAGAAGAGGGUGGCCAUUGAGAAUGGAGAGGCAGAAAAGGAGGUGGUGAUUAUCAAGAAGAAGAAGAAAAAGAAAGUGGCCCCUGAAAACAGAGAGACAGAGAAAAGGGUGGCGGUGAAGAAGGAAAAGAGAGUGGCCCCUGAGAACAGAGAGGAGGAGGAAGAAGUAGCAUUGAAAAAGAAGGAAAAAUUGGCAGUUGCCAAGGCUACGGUAACUGUAGAGAAAGACAACAAGAAGAGACCCAAGUCCAACUGCACAGACUUGGAGACGGGAGGAACAGAGGACGCAAGGGACAACAAGAAGGCAGGGAAGAAAGAAAAAAGGAAGGCUUCUGCACCAUCUGAGGAUGUGAUCGAGGAGGAAGAGAAGCCGAAAAACAAGAAAAAGAAAAAGGUUCACCCGAAAGGUGAGGAACAAGCUGAGGAUGGAGAGAGCGAGGGAAUGAUGUCUGUGGCAAAUGGCAAGAAAGCUAAGAUAGGGUUAAAAAAGGGCUCUUCUGAGGUCAAGACAGAGAUGCAGCAGAGCAUCCCUCUGAGGAAAGGGAACGAGAGAGGAGAGAUUCGGGCCAAGGAGAAGCGGAAAAAGAUAAAGGUCGAGCACUGUGACCCUGAAGACCAGGUGACCAAACCACAGAAGGAUGUUGUCUUCCUGUCAGAGACCAAGGGAAACACAGACGAGAUCAACAUUGAUCAGGUAGAUCACUAA
rnacentral:lncRNA from 1 species